rnacentral:rRNA from 1 species
GACGAACGCUGGCGGCGUGCUUAACACAUGCAAGUCGAACGGAAAGGCCCUGCUUUUGUGGGGUGCUCGAGUGGCGAACGGGUGAGUAACACGUGAGUAACCUGCCCUUGACUUUGGGAUAACUUCAGGAAACUGGGGCUAAUACCGGAUAGGAGCUCCUGCUGCAUGGUGGGGGUUGGAAAGUUUCGGCGGUUGGGGCUGGACUCGCGGCUUAUCAGCUUGUUGGUGGGGUAGUGGCUUACCAAGGCUUUGACGGGUAGCCGGCCUGAGAGGGUGACCGGCCACCAUGGGACUGAGAUACGGCCCAGACGCCUACGGGAGGCAGCAGUGGCGAAUAUUGCACAAUGGGCGGACGUCUGAGGCAGCAACGCCGCGUGCGGGAUGACGGCCUUCGGGUUGUAAACCGCUUUCGCCUGUGACGAAGCGGGAGUGACGGUAAUGGGUAAAGAAGCACCGGCUAACUACGUG